rnacentral:lncRNA from 1 species
GCCGUUGUUGGGUGAGGUGCGAUUCGUCCGCCGCCAGACGGCUAGGACAGGAGUACGGUGAGCUGUUGCCAGCUGAGGUGCAUGUGAGAGUUCCUUCACCUCGAGCUAGACAGUGCGCGGACUAUCCGCGAUUGAUUGACUCAAGACCGAGUCGGGUGGCAUAGAGAACUAAGGUAAGAGAAACCUUAGGAAAGAAUGGCCAGUAGAAAAGUGCGACAAAGUGUAAAGAAUAAAGAAUAAGUAAAGAAUAAAGUUCGGCUAAGGAAUAAGAAUAGCUGAUUAGUAAAGAAAGGUUACAAGUAAAGAAUAGCUAAGAGCUAAAAGUAAUUAAAUGACAAGAGUAAAGAAUGAUUAAGAAUAUAAGUAGCGUUAAAGUAACCUACUUGCAUGAUUACAGGUAUUGCAUAUUGCAUUUCGUGAGGCAUGACAUGUAUUUCAAUUGAAUAUAUAUAUCUGUUGUAUAUUGUUGAACUAACAUGUUGCAGUGCCUCGUUAGACCUGUUGGUUGAGCUGGUUCUCUUGGGUGGCUAAACCCACUGAGGACUAUGGACAAUAGUCUCACCCCCGUGUUGCUGUUUUGGGGGUACAGGUACACACGUGUGCGGCGCGGCGGCGCAAGGCGAGGGCGUAGUUCUGCAGAUAGCGCCCUACCCCAGAGACCAGAGCUAGCAGUACCCCAUCUAUAUAGCUUAGGGGUAAAGGAAAUGAAAAGAAUACAAUGUAUCAAACUUGUAGUAAGUAAAUGUUGUAAUAACUUAGAUUGCAUUUGGAUGAAAAAGAAUGGAAACUGUGAUGUAAAAACUAUGAAAGUGAAUGAAUGUAAUAACUUAGGAUGUGUUUAUGUUGUAUGAUACCUUCCACUUGAAAUCUUGAUUGAUAUCCGUUCCUGGUUGGAACCUUCGUGAAUUGUAUUGAUUGCGAUGCUUUGAAUGUACAGGGGAGACUCUGUCCGUAGUACAAGGGAAACCUUGUCCAUUCGGCGAUGUCGGCGGCGCCGGGACCUUGGCCAAAUAGGCGGGUGGUCGCGGGCUGUGACAGUUGUGGUAUCAGAGCAUAAAGUAGAGAAUGGGAAUGGCUUAGACUGACCUAGGAGACCCUAGGAUAGUAAAACCAUAGAAGAAUAAGGCUCGUGAGAGACGAGGACUCAUGAUUCGUGGCGAAAGGUUAAUGGAUUGGGUUGUGUUGUAAACCUCUAAGACGGAUAUUAGAGGUAGACUCGAGGUGUUGUUUAUUCUCAGCCAAGGAUGUUCAUGUUGGGCGUACGACAACAUGAAACCGAGUGAUGUGAAUAAACACCCUUGCGUGACUUUCGCCUGAUUGGCUUUUGAGCCGGUGUUAGUGGUCUCGUGUUCGACCCAAGUUGGUCGAGAACUAAUCGAGUUGUCGUGUUUCAGGAAGCGAUGGCACCGCGUAGGCGAUCUUCUUCCAGAUCGGCGCGGGAGGGGACAAGUGGUGUUCCCGAGCAAGUCGACGCGAGCGAAGGCGCAGAGCUUCGUGAUCAGUUGGCCACACUCAUUGGAGUGAUGAGGCAACAAGCUGAUGUGGUGCAGAGGCAGCAGGAGGCUGCUAUGCGCCAGGAAGAGCGAAUGGAAAGACUCCAAGAAACGGUGGACCAGCUGGUGGGUGCACCAGCUGCGGCUCGUCGAGAACGGCCGGGAGUCGCGGCGGAGAUGUUCCCGUCGGGGUCGGGCGAUCCGACUCCUGUUAGUUCAGAGGUGGCGGCAGAAAGGGAGCGAGCUUUGGCUGCCCUCAUGGCUUUCAAGAAAUUUGAUCCGCCUACCUUCGAUGGUGAGGAUCCAGAUCCGUGGAUCGUGGAGAUGUGGAUUGAUGCCAUGGAAACGCUCUUCGAGGAUCUGUACACGUUGGAGCGAGACAAGGUAAACCUAGUCGCGCAUUAUCUCAAACAGUCGACGAAGGUGUAGUGGAAAGGCGUCAAGCAUGAUCGACCGCCUAGUCUCCCUCCUAUGACGUGGGAAGAAUUUCGGGGAUUGGUGUUCUCUGCUUAUUUCCCCGAUAGCGAGAAGCGGAAGCUCAAGGAAAGGUUCCUUAAGCUGCGGCAAGGAAGUCGCACGGUCAGGCAAUAGGAGCGGGAGUUUUUCCGUAUCGUGCAUUGUAUCCCAAACGUGGUGCGAGAUGACAAGGACAGGGCCGACUGCUUCGUGCGUGGACUUCAGCCAGAUCUUUACCAGGCGGUGCUGGUACUCAAGUUGCAGAUUUUUGCUGAAGUCCUGGAUCGGGCCUUGUGGAUAGAACAGGGCAACGCCUUUAUGCGGGAAGAGCGAGAGGCAUAUUACAAGGAAAAGGGGAAAGGACGACCGACAGGUGGAUCCAGUAGUCAGUCAAGUUCCCAACGGACUUUGACGAGUUCGCACUCGCGAUCCCGAGCUCCGGGGACAUACCGCAUUCAGUCCUCGGCGAAAUGUGCUAUUUGUGGAGGCCCUCAUUUCCCACGACAGUGUGAGCAACGUGAAGGCAAGUACUUCAAGUGUGGGCUGCCGGGUCAUAUGUGGGACGAGUGUCCGCGUGGUGACGGCCGGGCCUUGACACUGGCGACGGCCCAUCCCUCUCUGGGACAACCUGCAGGUGUGCCACCUGCGGCAUGGUCGGGAGAGCGGCCGUUGAGGACGAUGCAACCAGAGGGUUCGCGACGAGCGCCAGGUGGGCAUCGGUAAGCGACCCGAGUUGCAGAGCCUGCCGUUGCUGACGUCAUCGUGGCAGGUAUGAGUUAAUUGAGCAAGCAUGUGCUUUUACUAAUCUCAAGUUGGUGCAUAGCAUGCAUUUGUUGUUGGUCGGUUGCUACUAAUUAUAUAUUGCAUAGUAGGGACCGAAUAGUCGGGUAAGUAGACGCCCGUACAUGCUUGCAUUGUGAGAAGUGGCACCUGCUGGUGCAAGUAGAAAGCCAAGUGGUGCUAGCUAAUGGCUAGUGAUGAUUCUCCGGUACGGAAUGAGGCUCGUGGAGAACAUGGUCUAGUAAGUGACUCUCGAAAUAAUGGGUUGAAAAUUGUGAGAGUUGAGCCUUGAUGUUGAGGAUACUCGAAAGACACGGGAGUUGAGAAUGUAUUCCGGUAGAUCGAACAGUGAAGGUAGAAUCACUGUUGAGAGAGUAACCGUAUAGUUGCCGAAUACGGGCACGUAGGCCUAGUAGUACCUCAAGUUGAGGUCGGCGAGUCCUGCUCGUGUAGUCGGUGUGCAUAGGCAAGGUUGCCUGAUGCUAGAUUUCGUGGAACGCUUUAGAGGCGUAGAGCGCUCGAGUGUAGUUACUCGUGAAGUGCGGUUUUGAUUCAGCCGGUUGAGUGAAUUGGCAGUAGCACUUUAGCAGGGCUAAGUGUGAAGCGGGCCAUGGAUCACUCGUAGGGCUGGUGGCUCGCACUAGGUACCUGGGGGCCGAUAGAGUGUGUAGCUCUGUAGAGCAUGUCGUUUAGGACGACGACGACGAGUGGUGCUUGAGGAUGACCCGUGCCUGGACCGUUUGUGAACUGUGUAGCCUGGGCCCAUUGGGCAGGCGCAGUCAGCUGUGAGAGACAGCGGCCCGAUACCUACUGGUAGGGCAUAGUGUUGGUCAGGACGGUAGUCCGAGCUUGGACAUAAGUACGUGGAAUGCCACGCGAUAGAUCGUGAGAUUGAUGGCACACCAAGUGUGUAGUGACCCAACCCGAGGACUUGACGUGGUCUAGGAUCUUGGUUGCACCUGGUUGGAGUGUGUGUGAAUUCUCCAAUGAGAAUUUCGCCCAAUGAUGAUUGGAUCUACGAUGCGGGCAAGAGACGCUAUGCGUAGUUGUGACAGGUAUAGGCGGUAGGCCUACGUAAUGAUUAUGAUCGUUGGUCCGCCUGUGAAAACCGAUGAUCAGUGCGGCAAGCAACUCUGUUAGUGAGUUGGGCUUGGAUUCACGAACGGAGGGUUCGUGUGAUGUUGAACGUGGCUUGUGGUAGUAAAGGAUAAAGAGAAAAGUAAAGUGUUCUCUAGGAGACACUUGAAUAAGAAAUAGCCACGUGAGGGUUGGUGUAAGGAAGUGAAUUCUCGAAAUGCGAGAGUUGGACUUCGCUCAAAAUCGACAAAUUGUCGAGUGGUUGUGCUUCGGAAAUGCCGAAGAGGUCAAAUACACCAAAGGUGCAUUGCAACGGAUCUGCGAGAGCAAGUGUGCAAAAAUCUGCACUUGGCAGAUUUGCUCUCGGGGACCGAUCCCUGUCAAGGAAGGACCGGUCCCCCGUAGCUGGUUGGUGCGAGGUUGCGUGAUGCAACCGGUCCCUUGGCCAGAGGGACCGGUCCCCCGUAUGCGAAACCGGCGAGAAGAGGAAAUUGGCUAAGUCCUGCGAGAGCAAGCUCUCGGGGACCGGUCUCUAGUGGACAGACCGGUCUCCGGGGGACCGGUCCUCCAGGGACAGACCGGUUCCCGUAAGUGUGUUCAGGCUGAAGGCUCUCGGGGACCGGUCCCUGGCAGGGAGAGACCGGUCCCUCUACACAUAAAAUUUUCCAGGCAGGCUGGGUCAUGUUGGAGGAGUUGGAAUUGUUUGAGUUUCGAGGACGAAACUCUUAUAAGGAGGGGAGAAUGUAACAUACCGAAUUUUAAAUAUAAAAGAGAAAAAUAAAUAAAAAUAGUAUGAGAUACUAUUUUAUUGGAUUUAGAGAAGUGAAAUAUCGGUUGGGAACGACCUGUGCUGAAAUCGGAGCGAAAACAGAAGAUUUAGAAUUUUCUGUUGGAAACGGGACUGAUAAAUUAGCAGAAAAUGCACAGUCUCAGAAAAUUAUAAAAAAUUAGAGGAUAAGUCAGAAAUAUUUUUAUGAGGCUAGAUUUGAAGUUUCAUAUUUUUCUGACGCCCGUAGAGAGAGAAAUAGCAUCCGAAAGCUAUCUGAUAAAGAUUGCAGUUCGGUACAGUUUUCAGUGACCAAACGGGGUCGAAACUGAAAUAUUAAAAUUUCUUUGGACUUAUUAAGUAAAACCGAGCAUGCCUGUCAAAUUUGAGCUCAAACGGACAUUCAGAAGGGCUCCGGCGAAAAAUAAACUGCCCGAAGUGAAUAGUGCGUAGUUGAGGGGCAAAAUGGUAAAAAGGGUUUAAAACCCCUUUUCUUCUUCUCCUCCCAACCGUGGCUGCCCCAACCGCACACACCACACACGCAUACACAAGAACACACACACGCAUGGAAAGGAAAGGAGAGAAAUCCCUUUCUCUCUCUAAAUCUCUCCCAAAAUGGAUGGAUUUGGUGGAGAUUGAAGCUUGGAGGUGGAUCGCCUUCGUCUUCUUCAUCUUCUCCAUGGUUUGGAGCUCAUUUUGAGGUGAGCUUCUUGAGCCCUUUAAUGGUAGAUCUUUAAUGCUUGGUUUAAAUACCUUAUAAAUGGAUUUAGAGGAGUCCUAGCAUGCUAUCUAGAUGAUUAAUGCUUGAAUCAUGGAUCAAUUUAGUGAUUUCUUGCAUAGUUGUAACCUAGGGCUCCAAAAUGCAAACUUUCAAAAUAUGAGGGUUUGAUCUCAUUUGACCCUUCGUAAACCUAAUUGCUAGGUAACGAAACGCGUUGGCGAAGACGGUUCGGCAAUCCGACGAGCCGUUACAAAGUUAUUAAAGAAAUGGACGUUUAGGCUUCGGGUCCGCCGGGAGGGCCGAGGCGACGUCGUAAAAUCAUGGAAAUGGAUUUGAGGCAUCGUGGCACAUAACCGAAGACCUAUAAUUUUCGGGGCUGCGAAGCGGAGCACGGUUGAGGCGCAGUUGCAGUAUCGGGCCGUGCCGGAUACGGGUGCCGCGGGAGGCCGAUUGCAAGUGUCGACAAGCAAUCGGAACGCGAAUUAAGGUGGGUUGUGUUUACCGAAGCGACUAGGUCGCCUUUAUGUCUAAGAAACUAAGAAUCCAUGUUGAUGCAUAUAAAUGUAAAUGAAGCAUGUAAAUGAUGCAUGUAGCUAAAUAAUGCAUGUUGAUAGUAUGAUGUAAAUGCUAAAUAGAAUGCAUUAUGAGCAAGUUACAUAAUGCUAAAUAAUGUAAUGUAGAAAUGCUAGAAUGCAUUAUGAGCAAGUUACAUAAUGCUAAAUAAUGUAAUGUAGAAAUGCUAGAAUGCAUAAUGAGCAAGUUAUAUGAUGCAUGUUUAUAGUAUGAUGUAAAUGCUAAGUAGAUGCAUAUAAAUGAUAUAUGAGAUUAUAAACGCAUGAUUAGCAUUAUGAGAUCAUAGAUGCAUGCUUAGCAUUGUGAGAUUAUAUAUGCAUAUGAACUUGGUUGAUAACUCUAGCUUGAUUAGAGAGAUAACAUUGGAAAAUGAGAAUUGAUAACUCUAGAAUGAGUAGAAUGCUUAAUUGGACAAUUAGUAUGUGAAUUAGAUCGAGUGGCAUCUAACUUAGUGUUAAGGAACAUAGGUCGUGAGUAGACCUAGAAUCAAAUAGAUCGAGUGGCAUCUAACCUAGUGUUAAUAAACAUAGGUCGUGAAAUGAAAAGUACUUAACCUAGAGUCAAGUGAACCUAGGUUGGAAAGAAUAAUGAUCCUAGUGUAAUAAACCUAGGUUAAGAAUGUGAAAGCAAUAAACCUAAUGGGUGAACUUAGGUUGAGUAAAGGCUUAGACCUAGAGAGGUCAGUUCCAUAGGGUUAAGACCAACCCCUAUGUGAUGUGAAAUGGAUUCCGGAAUCCCAAGGCUAAAAGGAUACACCCAAAGUGGUGUCGGGUGUGUGCGACGAUUUCGCCGCCCAAGGGCUAAAGAACCAUUGUCGUGGCGUGUGCGACGAUUUCGCCGCCGGAUGGUUAGCCAGUUUGUGGAUCCUACCGCCUGUUGACUGAACCACUGUCGUGGCGUUUGUGCGACGAUUUCGCCGCCGGGUGGCUAAGUCAUGGACCUAGGCCGUUGUUGGGUGAGGUGCGAUUCGUUCGCCGCCAGACGGCUAGGACAGGAGUACGGUGAGCUGUUGCCAGCUGAGGUGCAUGUGAGAGUUCCUUCACCUCGAGCUAGACAGUGCGCGGACUAUCCGCGAUUGAUUGACUGAAGACCGAGUCGGGUGGCAUAGAGAACUAAGGUAAGAGAAACCUUAGGAAAGAAUGGCCAGUAGAAAAGUGCGACAAAGUGUUAAGAAUAAAGAAUAAGUAAAGAAUAAAGAUCGGCUAAGGAAUAAGAAUAGCUGAUUAGUAAAGAAAGGUUACAAGUAAAGAAUAGCUAAGAGCUAAAAGUAAACAUUAAAUGACAAGAGUAAAGAAUGAUUAAGAAUAUAAGUAGCGUUAAAGUAACCUACUUGCAUGAUUACAGGUAUUGCAUAUUGCAUUUCGUGAGGCAUGACAUGUAUUUCAAUUGAAUAUAUAUAUCUGUUGUAUAUUGUUGAACUAACAUGUUGCAGUGCCUCGUUAGACCUGUUGGUUGAGCUGGUUCUCUUGGGUGGCUAAACCCACUGAGGACUAUGGACAAUAGUCUCACCCCCGUGUUGCUGUUUUGGGGGUACAGGUACACACGUGUGCGGCGCGGCGGCGCAAGGCGAGGGCGUAGUUCUGCAGAUAGCGCCCUACCCCAGAGACCAGAGCUAGCAGUACCCCAUCUAUAUAGCUUAGGGGUAAAGGAAAUGAAAAGAAUACAAUGUAUCAAACUUGUAGUAAGUAAAUGUUGUAAUAACUUAGAUUGCAUUUGGAUGAAAAAGAAUGGAAACUGUGAUGUAAAAACUAUGAAAGUGAAUGAAUGUAAUAACUUAGGAUGUGUUUAUGUUGUAUGAUACCUUCCACUUGCAAUCUUGAUUGAUAUCUGUUCCUGGUUGGAACCUUCGUGAAUUGUAUUGAUUGCGAUGCUUUGAAUGUACAGGGGAGACUCUGUCCGUAGUACAAGGGAAACCUUGUCCAUUCGGCGAUGUCGGCGGCGCCGGGACCUUGGCCAAAUAGGCGGGUGGUCGCGGGCUGUGACAAUCAAUCCUACAGUUGAGGAUUCCAAGUUCAAUCCAUUCCUUAACUUUAAGGAAGACUAUGCUCAAUUGACCCUUAGUACUAAGGUUGAAUGUCAUAAUAUCUCAAUCGUUCUUGUUCUUGCAUUCUUUACUACCACUAAUGUCAUAUACACUAUCAAGUUCUUGAACUCAUGCCACACUUGUUCUCUAAAUGCUAGAUUUUUGUCCUCAUGCCAAAUGCCACACUUGUUUACUAAGGAUUCUAGACUCGUCGAUGUCAUUUGCUAGAUCUAUGUCAAAGUGUCACUUUUCGUUUACUAACCCUUCUAGGUUCUUGUCACAAUCAUGCAUACAUAGGGAUCAUCAUUCUCACACCCUUACAAAUAUUUAACAUGCAUUUGAAUUUACAUUAAACUAUAACAAAACUCACAAUUGACCCUAUUAUGCAAGAUGCUCAAAAAUGCACAUAUACUCAAAAUAUAACAAUUAGACAUAGAAAGACUUCCGAUGUCCUUGGAAUGCACCACCUACCUUAGAUGGUUACAAGGAUACUUCGGUGAAUUUCUUGGAAUUUUUUUGAAACCCUAAUCCGCGUGCUGCGGCUAUCUGUACGGAAAACGAUGUUUUUGUCAAUAACUUUGCAUACACUCGUCGGAUUGUCGAACCGAGCGUUCCAACGCGUUUAAAAUACCCUCAAUUAGGUUUCUACAUGAUCAAAAUAUAUCAAAACCUAACUUGGGCAAAACCCCUCUUUGGGAUGCCCUAACAUGCAAUUUUUGUAUUUUUCCUAGAUUGAUCUCAUUACUAAGAAAAAGAAAGCUUAGAAUCACUUGGGAAGCUUUCUAACAAGGUUUCUAAACUUUUAGAACCAUCCCUAGAGCAUCUACUUUGAGCCCUAGUGAUCCACCAUGAGAGGGGUCCAAGAAAUCCAUGUUUUUCAUGGAGUCAUGGUUCUUAGAGGAUUUCCUCACUUGUAGAGAGAUCAAGACCCAAAAAUCUAAGGUCUAAACCCAAACCCUAAACCCAUUUUUGCAUAAGGACUCACUUUUGCCCAAGCUCCAUCAAAGCCUACUUGUUGGAGAGCUUCUAGGAACACCAAAGCCACCAAAAUCCAUUUCUCCAAGCUCUUCUCCACCUUCUCCAAGCUCUAGGGCUUGCUUUCUAGAGAGAGAAAGAGAGGAAAAUGAGAGAGGGGGAUGUGUGUGGCUGUGGGAGGGAGAGAGAGAGGUGUUGGGGAGUUAACAUGUUGCUACAAUUGCAACUAGGCCCUCCAUUUCUUUUUAUUUGCGUCAGACCUCACUGGGCUGUCUGGGGCCUCUUGUACCGGUACAAGGAUUCUUGUACGGGUACAAGGCCAAACAGUGAGCCAAACCCGAGAGCUGCCUCUUGGGUUCGCAGGGUCUGUACCGGUACAAGGGGUCUUGUACCGGUACAAGGCCUGGACUGCACCAACCCGAGAGCUGCCUCUCGGGUUCGCAGGGUCUGUACCGGUACAAGGGGUCUUGUACCGGUACAAGGCCUGGACUGCACCAAUCCGAGAGCUACUCAGCUCGGAUUGCGCUGGUUGUACCGGUACAACUAUCACCUUGUACCGGUACAACAGCUCCAGAAUGUUGUUUUAGGCUUCGAUUCGACUCUACCUCGCGUCGGUCGAUGCUAAAACCAUUCUAAGUCUUCCCAAACUCAUUUUUAGCCCUUCCAACAUUAUUGGAAUGCAAGAGGAACUUGUCUAUCGUUUUCUUUCGAUGCUUUAACCAAUUUGGUCAAAGUUCAAUUAUCGUUUUCGGGUUUCGAUAUGUUACAUGCAGCUUGCCUCCUUCGGACCUGUCGAUCGAGCUUUUCCCUUGAGCGGCCGUACCCACUGGGAACUAUGGAGUUAGUUCUCACCCCACGUUGCUUUUGGGGUGUUACAGGUUCACACGUGAGCGGCGCGGCCACGCGAGGCGAGGGCGUAGCUCCGUAGAUAGAGCCCUACCACCGUGACCAGAGAUAGCAGUACCCAAGUCAGCCAAGCUAGGGGUUGUAGAAAAUGAAAGCAAAAUGAUCAAACUUGUAAUAAUCUUGUGAUGAUUGAUUGUAUUCGGAAGUUUAAAUGUAUUUGAAAGGAAAAGAAAUGUAAAUAAUAUCAAGUGAAUGAAUGUAAUAACUUAGGAUGUGUUUAUGUUGUUUGAUACCUUCCUUAUGCAAUCGUUGUAUGUUGAAUACUGUUCUUGGUUGGAACCUGUUGUAAUUGUAUUGAUUGCGACGCCUAGGACGUACAGGAAAAACUCUGUCCGUUCGGCGGUCUGUCGGCGUGCCGAACCUGACCAAAUAGGCGGGGCUCGGGGCGUGACAACACUGGACCUUUGUAAAUUGUGAGGUUCGAGUGUUUGAUUUGUAUUCUGAGCUUUUCCACAUUUUUUGGAAGGUCGUAGAUAGUGUUUCGACCUAUGGCUCGCAUCUCGAGAAUCGAGAUUUUAAACUUAGCGCUAAGGUCUCCAAAGAGAAGGACUUAGGCUGCUCUCGGGUUGGUUUCUGCAGAGUGUGGUACCGGUACAGCAUUGAGCUUGUACCUGAAUGAGGGGUGGUACCGGUACAACAUCGGGUUUGUACCGGUAUCAGGCAUCGUUUUCUGCCAACCCGAGGCUCGGGUUUGCGUGCACAGUGUUUGAUACCGGUACUCUUGCCCGAUGGUACCAGUACGCAGUGCAGUCCGCAAACUGCUUGUUUUGGGAGGGUGUUUUUACAAUUAUAGCAUCUCUAUAUAACACCCCACGCCCCUUAGGUGUUUCCCUGAGCUUGGAAACACAGGAGGAAGGGAGGAAAGCCCUCCACUUCCACCCUUUGGUUUUUUUUGAUUUAUGUUGGAAUUUUUCAGAUUUAAUCCUCUCUUUUUGUCCCUUUUUGCUUGUUGGUAGUAUUUCCACCAUGGUUGAAGGCUUGGAGCUUGGAGAAAAGCUUGUUGGAGGAGAGAUCUUCAACCCUAGUUGAUUUCAAGCCUUAUUUGGAGCUUCUCUUGAGGUUAGUAAUAUAUUUCUUGCUUUAGAUUCAUGUUUUAAUUGAUUUCUUGAGAUGAAACCCUAGAAUGUGAAACCUAGGGUUUAUUUUGGGGGUUUUUAAUUUGUAGCUCUUGGGGCUCAAUUGAUAGGUGUAGAACAUCUCGUUGGGAUAGAUUUGAAGGGCUCUAGCAUCCAUUUGAAAUUUGAGAGGGAUUUUCUAAACAUUAGGUGAGUUUUGCCUUAUUGUUGGAUUUGUUAAAGAUGAACACUUUGGGUGUUCGGUUAUUUUGUUUAACCCUCUUAGAAUUCUCUUUAGGGAGCUAAGAGACUUAUGGACAACUUCUUUUGUGUAAACGAAAGGGUUGCAAGAAGCCUCGGUGAGUUUGACCUCACCAAAAUGAGAAAAUCUCACCUAUGUCUUUUUAAAUAUUAUAAAAUAGAAAAUCAUGCAUAUUCAUGCUAGAUAAGGCAUAAAUGAAUUUUAGAAUGCUUGAAAUACACAUAUUAUAUACAAUGCAAAUUUGUACCUCUAUGUAGUAGAGAGUUAUAUAUGUCGGAAUCUUGCAUAUAAAUAGCAUUCUUAUAUGUGGCUUGGGAUCAUGUUUCAUGUAGUGAAAAUGACAAGUAUAAUAUGCCCUUGGACAUAGAUCUUAUAUUGGACAUAGGAGAAAACAUAAUGCCAUAAAGAGGCAUUAGACUAUAGUGAUGUGUGAAUUAGUAAGCUAAUGUCAUAAAGUGGCAUUAGGCUUAGAAUGUACUUGGACAUAGUAAGCUAAUGUCAUAAAGUGACAUUGGGCUUAAAAUGUGAUUGGACUUAGUAUGUUAAUGUCAUAAAGUGACAUUGAACUUAAUAUAUAGUUAAACCUUACCUUGGAACAUUAAACUAGACCGUUGGGGUUGCUAAUGAUUAUUACCAUGUUAGAGACAUGAUGACCGGGUUCUUGAGAUGACGACUAUGCUUGCUUACUAUUUGUGCUCAUUCGCACAUACUUGUGAGGGUCGCUCCCUACAAGCCGGCACUCCGGAGUUAGCCUACACGACAUAUACUCGCUUGUGCGGUAUUGAGAAGCCUACGGGGCCGGGUAGGAUAGACUCAUUCCUAGAGUGGGAAUAUUGAGCUACCACUGGCAUUUAGGCGGCACAAGCCGGACUACACUUGUAUAGGUCCUAAAAUGAGAUUGGAUAAUGACAUUAAACCAUAAUAUGACAAUCACUACUAGAUAGUUGUAGUAGUUGAAUUUCUUGAACAUGCUUGUGGCAUAGUAUUAAACACUUGGUUGAUAUACUUGGACAUAUAGUAUACUUGAUAGGGUUGCUUGUUGCAUUAUAGUAUACUUGUAUGACAUGUUUAAAGCACACUAGUAUAUAUUCUAAUGAUAUACUCAUCCAUGUUAGGCUAGCUAAUGCAAUUGUGGAACUUCAUGUUAUGUAAUGGCAUAGUAGCUAACAAAUUUAAUUCAUGUUUUAUUAUUCAUACUAUCGCUUCCAAUUAAGUGUUAGAAUUAUCUACUUUGCUUUUGGGCCUAGUGGUGCAUUUGCUAAGGUCAGUAAUUGUCUACUGGGAACUAUUAAUUAUAGUUCUCACGCCCCCUGUUUGUUAUUUUCUUUCAGAGCCUUCCACCUCGAGAGAGGCUCGGGAUCACGGGAAAGGGAUCGCCUCGAGCUAGUUAGCGAGAGAUUGUGCGAUAGGUGGUCCACCUCUCUUUUUAUUUCAUUUUGGAGAGGUUGAGAGAUCUAUACCAUUUUGUAGAGACCACCAUUUUGGAUAUUAUAGCACUUGUAUUUGAGACUUUUGAUGGAUUACUCUAUGUCUUAUCUUACUGGGUUUCCACCCUUCAUGAGCUUUGUAGUGAAGAAUAUUGAUUAAAAAUGUGGAUUUGCAAGCUAGCUAAAUACUAAUUGGUCAUAGUCACAAUUCUCCAAAUGUUGGUGGAUUUGAUUAGUUGAAUAAGAAGUUAAUUAAAAAUAAAAAAAAACUAAUUGGUAGAAGCUCUUUACGACAACAUCAUUCCUUUUCCAUUCAUUGUUUCAGGAGGGUAUAUUUAGGGUUGUAGCCGCAAUACUUCAUAUAGGAAAUAUCGACUUUUCAAAGGGGACAUAUAUAAAUAGAUUCAUCUGUAAUAAAGGAUGAGAAAGCAAGGUUCCAUUUGAACACAGCAGCAGAACUUCUAAUGUAUGUCGAUUUCAUUCCAGCACCAUAGGCCAUUUUUUUUCUAUAAUUUCCGAAAGCUAGAUGUUUGUAGUUUAUUAUUCAUGUAAUUCAUCAGCUAAUGUUUUUGCAGGUGUGAUAGCGAGAAACUAGAGAAAGCACUGAUAACACGUGUGAUAGUAACACCAGAAGGAGUUAUUACUAGAACGCUUGACCCUGCUUCUGCAAUUGUUAGCAGGUAUGGAUUAGCAAAAACAAUAUACUCCCGGUUGUUUGAUUGGUAAUGUGUUUGAUUAUAUAAGAUUAGUUCCUACACAAAUUAAAGAGUAUUUCGUUAUUGAUGCAAAGCAAGAAAUUUUAUUCCUCUUUUGUUAGAAACUGACUAUUAAUGAAUCCUAUGGAUGAAAACAGUGACUGGAAAAGCUAUAGGUAUUUAUUGCAAUUAAGUUUAGUGAUAUCUGUUAUUUGUAUUUAUUACACUAAAAAGCCCAGUGGUUAGGCAACAAUUAUAUAAAUAGAUAAAAAAGUGAUUAAUAUAAACAAACAGAGCAUAUGCAUGAAUAUCCAAAGCUAAUUAAAAAUGAAAAAAAAAAUCAAAAAAAUGAUCAAAACUUACCAAAAGAAAGUAGUGAGAAAGAAGGAAAGUGGACGAACGAUUCCUCCCAAGCGGCGAUCGUGUGCGGCUCGGAGAAGGUCCUCCUAAGCGGCGAUCGCGUGUGACACGACGAAGGUCCUCUGUAAGGUACCGGACUUCUAAAAUUAUGAAGUUACGGUGUACAUUUAAAUAGUUCCGGUGAGGUUGCGGUGGAAUGUAACAUACCGGAUUUUAAAUAUAAAAGAGAAAAAUAAAUAAAAAUAGUAUGAGAUACUAUUUUGUUGGAUUUAGAGAAGUGAAAUAUCGGUUGGGAACGACCUGUGCUGAAAUCGGAGCGAAAACAGAAGAUUUAGAAUUUUCUGUUGGAAACGGGACUGAUAAAUUAGCAGAAAAUGUACAGUCUCAGAAAAUUAUAAAAAUUGGCGGGGAUGUUAGAAAUAUUUGUAUGAGGCUAGAUUUAAAGUUUCAUAUUUUUCUGACACCCGUAGAGUGAGAAAUAAAAUCCGAAAGUUAUCUGAUAAAGAUUACAGUUCGGCACAGCUUUCGGUGACCAAACGGGGUCGAAACUGAAAUAUUAAAAUUUCUUUGGACUCUUUAAGUAAAACCGAAUAUGACUGUCAGAUUUGAGCUCAAACGGAUAUUCAAGGAGCUGCGAAAGAUAUCAGAUUUGGAACUCUGAUUUGAUGUGAAUGUUUAUGUAUAUUGACAGGUUGUUGACUAUAAGUAAGAAGGUACUAGCUUCUUCCUUUCACGCCGGACCAUCCACCCUAACAAGCACACGUUCACAUGGGAAUCGAGCGUCGGUGUAGUGAUGAGAACCAUCCUUUUUCUCUCUCUAAAUAUCGUUCUCAGUCUCUCAUAUAUUUCUGCCCAAAUUGCGGCGGGUGGGUGGAGAUCGAGUUGUGAACUCCUUUUGGAGGCGCCGGAUGAAGCGUUUCGUACGCGCGUUGGAGCGGCGUGUUUUCGUCUUUUGCGGGUUCACUUGGGGUAAGCUUUUGAGGAUUUGCUUUAAUCUUAGCUUUAAAGUGUUCUGUAGCCUCUAAUGAAUCUUUGUUUGGCAUGUUGAUCCAUUUUAUAUUGGAAUUAUUUGGAGGGUUAAUUGUACGUUAGGGCACUCAAAUUGCAACGUUUUUAAAAAUAUGACGGGUUGGAUCUCAUUUUGCUUUCAGUAACUAAUUGUAGUAACGAAAAAGGUUGGCGAAGACGGUUCCGAGUAAUCCGACGAGCGUUACAGAAGUUAUUAAAGAGAAUAGACGUUUAGCUUCGGCGUCUGUGCGGGAGGGCCAAGGCCAGACGUCGUAAAUCAUGAUAAUGGAUUUAAUGGCAUCGUGGCACGUAACGAAGACUAUAAUUUUCGGGGGGUCGCGAAGCGGAAACACGUGGGCGCAGUUGAGUAUCGGGCGGCGGAUACGGGUGGCGAAAGGGCCAAUUUGCAGAGUGCUCACAAGCAAUCGGAACGCGAAUGGAGGUGGGUUGUGCUUACGAAUGCGACUAUGUCGCCUUGUCUUUAGCAUUAUCUCUAUUGAUUGCAUGUGCAUGUAGGACAAGACUAAAUGGUGAUAAUAAUAUGCAAUUAAUGUAAAGGCUAAUGUGAAGAAUGGGCAUGUACAACGAUUGCAGCUGACUAAAAUAUAGCUAAGUAGCGCAAGGGUGAGAAUGUAAUUGCUAGUAAUGUUAAGAGUGAUAUUAAUAAUAAGUUGCAUAGAUAGAAAUGUCAAUGUAUGAUGAGGAAUUAGAUGAGUAUCUCGUAGUAAGCCGAGUGAUGGACAAAUAGGAGUUGCUCAAGGUAUAAUGAGUGGCAUUCACUAGUGGUAAAGAAUCAUAGUGUGAUGUGAACAUAGUUUGGAAAAGAAGAAUGAUCUAUGUGUAAAUAAACUAGGUUUAUAGAAUGUGAAGCAUAAAUAAUGGGUGACUUUAGGGUUGAGGUAAGGGUUAGUAUCCUAGCAGAUAAGUUUCCAUUAGGGUUGAAGACCAACCCUUGUGAUGAUGAAAUGCGAUUCCGGAAUCCCAAGGCUAUAGGAUUACACCAAAGUAGGUUGUUGAGGGUGUGCGACGAUUUCGCGCCAAAGGGCUAAAGAACAUUGUACGUGGCAGUGUGCGUACGAUUUCGCGCCGGAAUGGUUAGCCAGUUGUGGUUAUCUACGCUGUUGACUGAACACUGUCGUCGCGUUUUGCGCGAUUUCAGCCGGCCGUGGUGGCUAAGUCAUGGACUAGGGCCGAUUGUUUGAGAUGAGUGCAUUAGUUCGCCGCCAGACGGCUAGGACAGGAGUACGGUGAGCUGUUGCCAGCUGAGGUACAUGUGAGAGUUCCUUCACCUCGAGCUAGACAGUGUGCUGACUAUCCGCGAUUGAUCGACUCAAGACCGAGUCGGGUGGCAUAGAGAAGUAAGGUAAGAGAAACCUUAGGAAAGAAUGGCCAGUGAAAAAGUGCAACAAAGUGUAAAGAAUAAAGAAUAAGUAAAGAAUAAAGAUCGGCUAAGGAAUAAGAAUAGCUGAUAAAGUAAAGAAAGGUUACAAGUAAAGAAUAGCUAAGAGCUAAAUGUAAACAUUAAAUGAUAAGAGUAGCGUUAAAGUAACCUACUUGCAUGAUUACAGGUAUUGCAUAUUGCAUUUCGUGAGGCAUGAUAUGUAUUUCAAUUAAAUAUAUAUCUGUUGUAUAUUGUUGAACUAACAUGUUGCAGUGCCUCCUCGGACCUAUCGGUC